rnacentral:rRNA from 1 species
AGUAACGGCGGGGCGGAAGCCGCGGUAAUACGGGUGGGGAAAUCGUUGAUCGGAAUUAUUGGGCGUAAAGCGUGCGCAGGGGGCUUAUUAAGUCAGAUGGGAAAGGCCUAGGCUCAACCUUGGAAGGUCAUUUGAAACUGAGAAACUAGAGUGUCGAAGAGGGAAGUAGAAUUCCAGGUGUAGCGGUGAAAGGCGUAGAGAUCUGGAGGAAUACCAGUGGCGAAGGCGACCUUCUGGUCGAAAACUGACGCUGAAGCGCGAAAGCAUGGGGAGCAAACAGGAUUAGAUACCCUGGUAGUC